rnacentral:rRNA from 1 species
AGAGUUUGAUCCUGGCUCAGAACGAACGCUGGCGGCAUGCCUAACACAUGCAAGUCGAACGAAGCCUUCGGGCUUAGUGGCGCACGGGUGCGUAACGCGUGGGAAUCUGCCCUUGGGUUCGGAAUAACAGUUAGAAAUGACUGCUAAUACCGGAUAAUGACGUAAGUCCAAAGAUUUAUCGCCCAAGGAUGAGCCCGCGUAGGAUUAGCUAGUUGGUGGGGUAAAGGCUCACCAAGGCGACGAUCCUUAGCUGGUCUGAGAGGAUGAUCAGCCACACUGGGACUGAGACACGGCCCAGACUCCUACGGGAGGCAGCAGUGGGGAAUAUUGGACAAUGGGCGAAAGCCUGAUCCAGCAAUGCCGCGUGAGUGAAGAAGGCCUUCGGGUUGUAAAGCUCUUUUACCCGGGAAGAUAAUGACUGUACCGGGAGAAUAAGCCCCGGCUAACUCCGUGCCAGCCGCCGCGGUAAUUC